rnacentral:lncRNA from 1 species
GAAGACAUAAUUUGAGAACAAGAAAGGAAGGCGGAAUUUGAAAAGAAAUGAAGUUGGACUUUGGAAAAUUAAGAAAGUCGGGAUCACGCAAAAUGGACCUAGUCUGAUGAAUUAUCUCCUAGAAUCACAAUCUUAGUCUGUUGAAUCUUUCUCCUAAGAUGAAAAUCUUAGUCUGAUGAAUUUUUCACCUAAGGUAAGGAUAAAAAUCUUAGUCUGUUGAAUCUUUCUCCUAAGAUGAAAAUCUUAGUCUGAUGAAUUUUUCACCUAAGAUAAAGACAAAAAUCUUAGUCUGUUGAAUCUUUCUCCUAAGAUAAAAAUCUUAGUCUGAUGAAUUUUUCACGUAAGAUAAAGAUAAAUCUUAGUCCGUCGAAUCUUUCACCUAAGAUGAGAAUCUUAGUC